rnacentral:rRNA from 1 species
GAUGAACGCUAGCGGCAGGCUUAAUACAUGCAAGUCGAGGGGCAGCAUGACUGUAGCAAUACGGUUGAUGGCGACCGGCAAACGGGUGCGGAACACGUACAGAACCUUCCUUCGAGCGGGGAAUAGCCCAGAGAAAUUUGGAUUAAUACCCCAUAGUAUUACGGAGUGGCAUCACUUUGUAAUUAAAGAUUUAUCACUUGAAGAUGGCUGUGCGGCUGAUUAGGUAGUUGGCGGGGUAACGGCCCACCAAGCCUGCGAUCAGUAACUGGUGUGAGAGAACGACCAGUCACACGGGCACUGAGACACGGGCCCGACUCCUACGGGAGGCAGCAGUAAGGAAUAUUGGUCAAUGGACGAAAGUCUGAACCAGCCAUGCCGCGUGGAGGAUGAAGGUCCUCUGGAUUGUAAACUUCUUUUAUAUGGGACGAAAAAAGGCUUUUCUAGGUCGUCUGACGGUACCAUAUGAAUAAGCACCGGCUAACUCCGUGCCAGCAGCCGCCGUAAAAC